rnacentral:rRNA from 1 species
UACGUAGGGGCCGAGCGUUGUCCGGAGUUAUUGGGCGUAAAGCGCGCGCAGGCGGCCUCGCGCGCCCGACGUGAAAGCCCCCGGCUCAACUGGGGAACUGCGCGGGAAACUGUCGGACUUGAGUUCGGGAGAGGGAAGCGGAAUUCCGGGUGUAGCGGUGAAAUGCGGUAGAUAUCCGGAGGAACACCGGUGGCGAAGGCGGCGUUCCUG